UCCUUAGUUGCCAGCGCGUAAUGGNGGGGACUCUAGGGAGACUGCCGGUGACAAACCGGAGGAAGGUGGGGACGACGUCAAGUCAUCAUGGCCCUUAUGGGCUGGGCUACACACGUGCUACAAUGGGCGGUACAGAGGGCNGCNAACCCGCGAGGUGGAGCAAAUCUCAUAAANCCGNUCUUANUCCGGAUCGCAGUCUGCAACUCGACUGCGUGAAGUUGGAAUCGCUAGUAAUCGCGGAUCAGAACGCCGCGGUGAAUACGUUCCCGGGCCUUGNACACACCGCCCGU
rnacentral:rRNA from 1 species